rnacentral:rRNA from 1 species
AGUAACGGCGAGUGAAGCGGCAACAGCUCAAAUUUGAAAUCUGGCCUCUUUUGGGGUCCGAGUUGUAAUUUGUAGAGGAUGUUUUGGGUACCGCACUGGUUUAAAUUUCUUGGAACAGAAUGUCAGAGAGGGUGAGAAU